rnacentral:lncRNA from 1 species
AUUUCAUAAGACGUUUUUCUCUUUCCCUAGCUUUUCUCUCUGUGAAGACGAACAGCUUCCUUCCUCCAUCUGUGAAGGUAUGCUCCCUAAUUUUUCUUUGAUCAAUACCUCGUUGGGUUUUCUUCUUGUUAUUAGGUUAUAGGUUGGGGUUAGGGUUUAUGCUUGUUACUAGGAUUUAUGCUUGUUACUAGAGGAAACGAACUAGAACAGAUUUGGAAGGGAAUGCUAUCUCAAAUGUGACCACCCAGCAAGCUAUGGGAAGAAUUAGCCUUAGCAUUGAUUCAAUUGUCACCGACUUCCGGAUCCAUAACCUAAUGGCAAAAAGGGAAAAAGAGAGAGAGCAGCAGAGUUAUAUGUGGGAUGCCAUUAAGGAGACCCCAAAUUUGGAUGAACAUGCUCGUUAUAAAGUGCUCUCUUUGUUGCAUAGUAACACAAAAAAGGAUGCAUUUUUGAAAAUGUCUCCCGAGGAGCGC